GACGAACGCUGGCGGCGUGCUUAACACAUGCAAGUCGAACGAAGAGCGAUGGAAGCUUGCUUCUAUCAAUCUUAGUGGCGAACGGGUGAGUAACGCGUAAUCAACCUGCCCUUCAGAGGGGGACAACAGUUGGAAACGACUGCUAAUACCGCAUACGAUCUAAUCUCGGCAUCGAGGAUAGAUGAAAGGUGGCCUCUACAUGUAAGCUAUCACUGAAGGAGGGGAUUGCGUCUGAUUAGCUAGUUGGAGGGGUAACGGCCCACCAAGGCGAUGAUCGGUAGCCGGUCUGAGAGGAGGAACGGCCACAUUGGGACUGAGACCCGGCCCAGACUCCUACGGGAGGCAGCAGUGGGGAAUCUUCCGCAAUGGACGAAAGUCUGACGGAGCAACGCCGCGUGAGUGAUGACGGCCUUCGGGUUGUAAAGCUCUGUUAAUCGGGACGAAAGGCCUUCUUGCGAAUAGUGAGAAGGAUUGACGGUACCGGAAUAGAAAGCCACGGCUAACUACGUG
rnacentral:rRNA from 1 species